UCAAGAGGAGGAGGAAGAAGCCUUAUAUGCCACAUCGCCAUAAUAUCCACACGUAGACUGGAAUUUUGGCACUGAGAACUUAUGAAGUUUGUUGAGGAAACAUUUGCUCAUAAAAAGGAAGUGAGAAGAUUAUUAGAGCCGUCCAAAGGGGUUGGCGCGUUACUCCGUCUUAAACGAAGCAAGAGGACGUAACAGUAACUCGUGACAACCGUCUACGAUGAAAUUGGACGCACUCCCAGCAAAAGCAUCAGAUUCGUGUUCGCGAGCACCCCACCCAUGUCAACGUUGUCUUGCGUAUAGUCAACUUGCAGGGUUGACGUUUGAUAAGCCUGAAAAUGUAAAGUUUGUUUUGGUUUGUAAUAUUCUGCAUCAAAACAUUUAUCAAAUGAAGUGCAGUUUGUAACCAGUGCUUUAUUCAUGAAACUUCAUAAAACGGGCUAAAUCUAAGCGUCAGUUGUAGUACAGUACUCUAUCCGCACGUUUUUAUUGUAAUUUAUAUAUUUUUGUUCAAACCCACCAGUACUCGAACCCGAAACGACACUUUAGAAGUUAUCCAAAAACAAAAAGUGCCUGCUAUGAAGAUAAAAGUAAUUGUUGUAGAAUUAUCACUAAGAGAUGUCCAGGUAGAACACUGUGCUAGUACGACCGGUGUCACGAAACUGGGGGUCCGUGUGACAGAAAGGCCGCCCUCCACAUAGUUAUAAUGGUUAGGGUUAGUUAAACCUAUGUGGGUCAAAAUUUAGGGCGACGCUCACCUGUACAAAGUAAUGGGAAGCGGACUCUCUGUUAUGGGGGACUUUCUGGUAUAUGACACCGGUUUUCUGUUUGAUUGUAAAAUAUGUAUGGGCAAAUAUGUAAUAAGACGCUUUGUUAUGCACUUGAAAAUGCAUGUUUAUUCAUAUUUUAAAAUUGGAUACAAAUGUUGAUUUUAAUGAAGUUAACUUUAGAAAAGAAAAAUACGUUGCGACUCCAUUACGUAAAAUGCUUACAGGAAUCUUUUAUUGUGGGUUCAUUGGAAGAAAUGAACGAGAUGUAAAUCUACAAUAAACUGUAACGCUAUGAUCCAAAUUAUGACACUAAAGAAUUAAUGGAAGUAUGAAAUUGUAAAAUGUGCUCAAGUUAUUGCAGAAUUGCCCACACGUAUUGAAACGGGUCUUUCCAAAACUGAAUAUUCGGUUAUGACGCAUGGUAAGAAUAAACUUCCUUUGGUUUCCGGUGUUUUGCUAUACUAGUAGUAUGUCUGAUCAGUGAUAGACCCAUAGUUUUAUUGCUGGGAGGGGGUAGAAAUGUUUGUGUUUUCAGAAUAUCAAACCAAGGGUUGCAGAUUUUUUUUUUCGAAAUCAGUAUGUUUUUGUUAUACACUGUAAAAGAAGGAAAAUUGACUCUUUGCCUUCAUUAAAAAGCGGAAAUGUAAAUAUUCACAAAUAGAAACAGUUUAUUGUAGAUAAUGUUUCCUUUUGACAUAUUUUGUCAAUUAAAAUGUACAUGUAGGACUGGCAUUUAUUACAUCCUUUUACAACUUGAAAUUUUGAAAAAAUCCUUAUCAAAUUUGUAUCGAUAACUACAGUUGUCGCAAAGCUCCAUUUUGGGGGGUAACGGGUAUUCCCUAGUAAGUGAACGGACUUUUGUAGACCGUCAACUUUUGUCAAUCCUCUAAAAAACACGAAAUUAGAUAUUUA